UACGUAGGCAGCGAGCGUUGUUCGGAGUUACUGGGCGUAAAGGGUGCGCAGGCGGUGGAGCAAGUCUGUUGUGAAAUCUCCCGGCUUAACCGGGAGGGUGCGGCGGAAACUGUUCUGCUGGAGUGAGGGAGAGGCAAGCGGAAUUCCUGGUGUAGCGGUGAAAUGCGUAGAUAUCGAGAGGAACACCUGCGGCGAAGGCGGGUUGCUGGGCCGACACUGACGCUGAUGCGCGAAAGCCAGGGGAGCGAACGGG
rnacentral:rRNA from 1 species